rnacentral:snRNA from 1 species
GUUCGUCUGACUUGGGUA